rnacentral:lncRNA from 1 species
AUAAAAACAAAAACAUUUCUGUGAAAUUGCAUUUUGGGAAAAAAUAAAAUAUCUGCGUAGGCUGUAAUAUUCAUUGAUUUUCUUCUGAAGAUUUUGUAAAAUAUUUUAACAUUAGUGUUAGUGAUGUUGGUUAACCUGAGCUUCCUCACUAGAGCUUUGAUUUUCAUAAUUUAAACAAACAAAAUCUUCUCCACUAGGUGGUGCCAAUAUCCCGUUACAAAACACCACCACUCUCCACCCUUAACCACUACCAAAAAGCCUGAUGUUUUUGUUUUGAUAUUGAAAUUUCACAUCCAAGUUGCUACAUGGAGAAUUUCUCUUUAGUUAUAGGUUGGAGUGUGUAUCUUUAACUUUCAAAAUCUAGAUCAAUUUUGUGGUGUUUCUGUUACUGGGAAAAUACAUUUGUUAAAUUUCAAAUGUAGUUCCCAACAUUGUAAGUAGAGACUAUUUCCACAACCUUUGCAUUGUGAUAAAUCCAGUUCCUUUGCUUUUAUUAAGUUAAUGGAACAAAGUGAUAUGCAAAGUUUCCUAUCAAUUUAUUUGAUUAAAAUCACUUUUAUUAAAGGAAUACCUCUACCCAAAAUGUAGUUCAUCUGCAAAGAGUUGGGCCCAGAGGCCAAUAAUUUUUUUCUGCUUAUUAUUCCAAUUUCAAACAAUAUGUUUAUACUUCUAAUUCUUGAUCUUUCAAAUUUAGUUACUUUUAACAAGAUAUAAAAUAUAAGGCCAUAUCUCUUCCUACCAGCUCCUCAAAAACUUACUUUGUGUAUAGGUGUU